rnacentral:tRNA from 1 species
GGAGAGGUGUCAGAGUGGUCGAUCGUGCCGCACUCGAAAUGCGGUGUCCCUCACGGGACCGUGGGUUCGAAUCCCACCCUCUCCGCCA